GAGGGUGUAGCUUAAGUGGUAGAGUGCGUGCCCAGCAUGCAUGAGGUCCUGGGUUCAAUCUCCAGUGCCUCCA
rnacentral:tRNA from 1 species